UAAGCUUUUCUAUAAACUGUACCAGAACAUCUACUUAAGUUCUUUAAUUCCUUCAAAUAAAGAAAUUUAGUAGAGUUCUGGUAC